ACACGACUACAUUAGACUACCCGGUAGUCCUAGCCGUAAACGAUACUCGCUAGGUGUCGGCCACGGUGCGACCGUUGUCGGUGCCGUAGGGAAGCCGUGAAGCGAGCCACCUGGGAAGUACGGCCGCAAGGCUGAAACUUAAAGGAAUUGGCGGGGGAGCACCGCAACGGGAGGAGCGUGCGGUUCAAUUGGAUUCAACGCCGGACAACUCACCAGGAGCGACGGUUACAUGAAGGCCAGGCUGAUGACCUUGCCUGAUUUUCCG
rnacentral:rRNA from 1 species